AUUUUCAAAAUUUCCUUGACCAUUACCCGACAUUUCCAUCAUCAGAAAAAGACAAACAUCUUGAAAAGAAUAAAUUUCCGAAAACUUAACUCUAUUUUUGCGAUCGGAGAUGGAGACGGAGGAGACGGAGAUCGGAGACGGAGACACCGAAAUUGAAGAGACAGGAAUCAUAUGAGAAGAUUAACACGAUUUGGUGAGGAUAUUAACGCAAAUUAUAGGAUGAACAAUCAGAAAAAAGAGAACUCGAAGACAUUAUUUUU
rnacentral:sRNA from 1 species